AGCAGAAGAGAGAUGAGCAAAUCAGUGAGAGGCAGUAUGGAAUAACUGAAACAGAGACACAUAACCGGGUCACAAGAAAAGCCGGAGAAUGAGCUGAUGCAAGAGUGUCAAAGGCCUUUUUGUUGUUGGUGGUGGUGGUUUUUUGUUUGUUUGUUGGUUUUUGAGACAGAAAGGGAACAGGAGCUAUUCCAACUCCACUGAAUGCAUGCCUUCCACUCCUGAGAAGUGGAAACAUGCUCGCAGUAGAGUGUAAAUUUUACAAUAAUAUUAAUACUCAGGGACGAGUAUAAUAAUACUCAGUAUAAUGGAAAAGGCAAAAAUUUUACAGUGAUAAUGAAAAAAAAAAGCAGAAGAAAAAAAUAUAAACAACAUAGCAGAUUAGGCAACAAAGGGAGAAAAGAAGAGUGUAAUAACUUCUUCAGUAAAAUUAUAAAGCAUUUCCCCAGGUUGCAUGACUCGUCUCAUAGGCUUGUAUAUUUUUGUUACUCUGGCAACCAAGUUUCUCUAGAAUCAUCCAACACCAGUCAAGGAGGGAAGAGCGUGUGGGGGGCAGAAAUCAGAAAUAACACAUAUACAGUACAACAGUGGAUUUAACACGGAGGACUCAGGAGACACUGUUAGGUUGAUUCCCCAUCCUUCCUGAGACACAGGUAAUCUAAUUUUGAAAAUGCAUUUUCUGCACUUAUACUAGAUAAAUCAUACAUCUGCUCAUGCUGAAGUCUUGCAACUGAUACUUCGAUACCAGUGCAUUCAUGACUCCAUUAAAGAAUAAAUAAGUAAGUAAAUAAAUAAAAUUGAAAAAGGAAAGAAAGAACUGCUUAUUCAUGAAGAUGAUAGACAGUUCUCCCACCUACAGCCAGUACUACAGAGGUCUGAGACUUUGUUACAGCACAGCACUGCCAGUCCUUGUAGAUGUAGCUUGUACAGAAAUCUCAGCAAGAGGGGGCACCAGUGCUUAUCAUAUGGAAAUGUUCUACAUCACCACCAAGGAAUCUGAAGACAACAGAACCUGAAGUUUAGCAGCCCAUGAACCUUAUUGUUUCAACUGACAACAUACUGACAUAUCAGUGCAGACUUUAAAGGCAUUCAAAUUCCAGAAAGGCAGUGCUGAAUAGAAUUUUCAACAAUAAAAUGGCACCAAAAUGGAUAGGAAAUAAUUUGUGUGUUUUUCAGUAAAUCUCACUAGCCAUCUGUUUACAUCUCUAGGCACUGAUAUUUCAGAGAAAAUGUGUUCUUAAGCAAAAAGUUUUUUAAGAUUCAUGCACUAAAAUGCUUCAUCCAAUGAAUCGUAUCUCUGCUCUAAUCACGCUAUAGCAUAGAUAAUUAAAUACUGCACUUUAUAGAACAAUACAGUUAGCCAGGUAAAAUAGCAAAGGACAUUCUUCAGUGGAACCAAAGCAGGUGUGAGAGGGCCAGGAUUCCCACUAAGCUGAUAAACAUAGCUAAAAUUCGGAAAGACCACUUAGAUCUUUUUGUGAUUUAGAGAAUGACAUUUAUUUUGCAAUUAGGAGAUGCUGAAAUAAUCGGAGUCCAUAAAAUUGAUUUCAAUUACUGCAGGAAUCCCCUGACCCCCUUCAGUGAGGUCAAGGGCUCUUAAAGCCUACUAGCCCCAAAUGGCACAGUAACACAACACUAGCACCCAACAAAAUGGGUUGCAAAAGCUUCUGCUUCUCUUCCAAGAAGCUUGAGUAAAAAAGAACUGCAAAUAGUGCAAGACUUCCAAAAUGAAUUUUCAUUGACAAAAUUCUAACGUUUCCAGGAAUGUGAGAUCCAAGAGGAAAUUAGAGAUUCUACUUAUUCAUUUAUUUCAUUAAAACUGCAAGUCCAUGUGCAGAACCUGUUUUUCAGAUCAUAUUAUGCUAUGGGCUUUUUAUUUUAUUUUAUUUUUAAAUCUUCGUACUACCAGAGCCUGUAGCAACUUAAACCCUUCUGAGGUCAUACUGUAUGUGGAAUUUAAGCCACGUUUC